UGAGGAAUAUUGGUCAAUGGGCGGGAGCCUGAACCAGCCAAGCCGCGUGAGGGAAGAAGGCCCUAUGGGUCGUAAACCUCUUUUGUCAGGGAACAAAAGCGAGUAUGUAUACUAGUCUGAGUGUACCUGAAGAAAAAGCAUCGGCUAACUCCGUGCCAGCAGCCGCGGUAAUACGGAGGAUGCGAGCGUUAUCCGGAUUUAUUGGGUUUAAAGGGUGCGUAGGCGGCGAUGCAAGUCAGCGGUAAAAGCCCGGGGCUCAACCCCGGCGAGCCGUUGGAAUCUGCAGUGCUAGAGAAGGCGAGAGGUACGCGGAAUGCGCAGUGUAGCGGUGAAAUGCUUAGAUAUUGCGCAGAACUCCGAUUGCGAAGGCAGCGUACUGGCGCCUGACUGACGCUGAGGCACGAAAGCGUGGGGAUCGAACAGGAUUAGAUACC
rnacentral:rRNA from 1 species